GUUGGGUUGCCCGUGGAUGGUUGGUUGUCUUUGAUGGUACAAGGAUCAUUCAUGGCUGACUGCUGACUUAUGGAUGCGAAGGGACGUGACUAAAACCAGCAGCAGACUGAAUGGACCAAUAUCACACACACUGCCGGGCAGCACGUGAGCCUUCAGCCCUCUCUCCACACACCCCAGCCCUCUCCACCCACACAGUUUGCAUUUUCACCUCUCCAAGGGAUCCCUGCUUCAUCAACAGCUGCACCAGCAGCACCAACAGCUGUAGCAGUAGCAGCAACAGCUGCACCAGUAGCAGAACCAACAAUUGCAGUAGUAGCAGCACCUUCAUUGCAGCAAGUGCUGCAGCAGCAGGCAGGCCUGGACUAUUUCUCGGUGAUGAGGGAACCUUGCUUGCGUCUGUAAAAAAACAAGAUUUUUUUUUCUUAGUGUUGCCAGAUCACUGGGACCAAAAUAUUGGCGACAGUAGGCUGGCGUCCACUGUCAGCCACCAGGCUGGCGUCCACUGUCAGCCACCAGGCUGGCGUCCACUGUCAGCCACCAGGCUGACAUAGAAGUGCUGCGCUGGCGUGUGUUUAUUGCCCCCCAGUCCCCCAUACCACCCCUGGGUGAUUGCAUUAAGUACUCUCAGGAAUUCAGUCAGUGUGUCUCAUCGUAUGGGCCAUUGACUGACUGUCCUCAAGUCAAUGCUUAUUGAACAUUCCCAGUUUUAAAAACAAAAUGUGAAGGUGUUACAAAUAUGCAAAAGGCUGAAAUAAUGUUAGGUUGUCAGGAAGUGCAGAAAGACACAGUAACCCCCGCCAAUGUACCCAGCUGAUGUUGUUGUUGUUCCUGCACUUUUUAUGUUAGUUACAAUGGUCGUUGUGGACACACUCGACCUGUCAUCUCUCUUGUAUGUUCCUCUACUUUAUUAGUUUAGCUUCUUGAAGCUCCUUUACAUUUGUGUGGCCACGGUGAUCUUGGAGUUCCCGCACUGAUCCUGUGUGUGUGUGUGUGUGUGUGUGUGUGUGUGUGUGUGUGUGUGUGUGUGUGUGUGUGUGUUGUAACUCAGCAGCGCAGCUGACGUGUUAAUUUGGAAACAUUUCGCUAACAAAUGUACUCACCAAGCUGUGUUUGUGGGGGCCGAGUCACAGCCUCUCACUGUAUGCUUGGUAUUAAAAUUCAGGUAAUAGAAUGUUGGGUAAAAUUCGUCUCCAUCCUCGCCAGUCCCCUUCUCCCAGACGUCUGCCGGUCCCCUUAUCCCAGACGUCUGCCGGUCCCCUUAUCCCAGACGUCUGCCAGUCCCCUUCUCCCAGACGUCUGCCAGUCCCCUUCUCCCAGACGUCUGCCGGUCCCCUUAUCCCAGACGUCUGCCAGUCCCCUUAUCCCAGACGUCUGCCAGUCUCCCCUCCUUUCCUCUUCACUAACCAUCUGCCAAUCCUCGCCUCCAUCUGCCCCUUCCUGGCUACUCAGCAACACAUGGCCCACAACUGUCUGCUGCUUCUGUCAGCCACAACACUACACCUGGCCAGGUGACACCUAUUUCUGGCCACUCUUGGACACUUUGAAUUCUCCCUAAAACAAUACCCGCGUGUUCACUACAACGCCUUCGUGCUCACUACAACACCUGCAUGCUCACUACAACACCUUCGUGCGCAGUACAACACCUGCGUGAUCACUACAACACCUGCGUGAUCACUACAACACCUGCGUGAUCACUACAACACCUGCAUGCUCACUACAGCACCUGCGUGCGCAGUAGUGCAACACCUGCGUGCUCACUACAACAUCGGCGUGCUCACCACAACACUUACAUGCUCACCACAACACUUACAUGCUCACCACAACACCUGCAACACUUGAUGCAUCUUUUGUUAUUCUUCCAACACACUAUUACCAUAAUACAUGUUUUGUUAUUCAACCACACGGGAAACUGUUAGGUUUUUUAGGGGGGACAAAGGCGUCAGUAUCCACUCUCGUCACCACGAUACACAAAAUUAGUCUUUUAUUUUUCUUGAUAUCUUUACAAGCAUUAGCACUGGUCGACGUUGCCCAGCGGUGAGAGUAGCGACUCUCAUUGCUGAGGUCCAGGUAAUAAACCCUGGGCAUUAACAUAACAUUUACAAGCAUUGUAAGACUUUUUUUUAAUUCUGUGUAAAACCUUAGUAGGUACCUGGCUGACUUCUCCAGGUAGAUAAUCUUUUGAUGGAUUAAUAUCUGCUUGACUGUGUUGUGUCAUGACUGGUGUUGGUACUGAUGUCUGUGACACGCUUCUAGUGACUGUGUUGUGUCAUGACUGGUGUUGGUACUGAUGUCUGUGACACGCUUCUAGUGACUGUGUUGUGUCAUGACUGGUGUUGGUACUGAUGCCUGUGACACGCUUCUAGUGACUGUGUUGUGUCAUGACUGGUGUUGGUACUGAUGUCUGUGACACACUUCUAGUGACUGUUGUGUCAUGACUGGUGUUGAUACUGAUGUCUGUGACACACUUCUAGUGACUGUUGUGUCAUGACUGGUGGUUGUACUGAUGCUUCUGUCACUGCUAGUGACUGUCGUAAUAUGACAGUCAUUAGGUGUGUGUUUGCCUCUAGGCGACAACAGGUAGCAGGUGACCUGCCUCUCCUUUUUCCCCUACACCCAGGAUUCGAAACCUGGAUGUAUGUGGUUGUGAGCCGAACGCUGUAAAGUCAAGAGCUACGAGACACGGGUUGCUUGCUGCCUACUGACAACAUAUGGGCACCUUCUGCUUCCUUCACCCACCACAUACAACAUAUGGGAACUUGCUUUUUCUUAUCCCUCACUGUACGACACAUGGGGGACUAAUAAACCAUUCUGGAAGCUAGAGGCAGGAGGCCAUAUGGUUGCCAACUGGCGGGUUGGAGGUGGUGGUGGUGGUGACGGUGGUAGUAGUAGUGACGGUGGUGGUGACGGUGGUAGUGGUAGUGACGGUGGUGGUGACGGUGGUAGUGGUAGUGACGGUGGUGGUGGAGGUGAUGAAGGUGGUGUGGACAGCCCAGAAGGUUCACACUGCGUGAGGUACCUAAACUCCGUUGUUGUUAAUUUGUUAUGUAAAAAUCAGCUGUCGCGGGCCAUAAUCAGCUGUCGCGGACCAUAAUCAGCUGUCGCAGGAUGUAAUCAGCUGUCGUGGGUUGUAAUCAGCUGUCGCGGGAUGUAAUCAGCUGUCGCGGGUCGUAAUCAGCUGUCGCGGGAUGUAAUCAGAUGUUACGGAUCAUAACCAGAUACUGACUCUUAAUGACUCAGUAAGAGUAUCAUGAAAAACUAUAUCAGUGCUUAAAUAUUUGUGACCUUGACUCAAGGUGUGUGUGUGUGUGUGUGUGUGUGUGUGUGUGUGUGUGUGUGUGUGUGUGUGUGUGUGUGUGUGUGGGUUAGAGAGAAACAUGCAGUUACUAGAAGGAGGAGGGAAGGGAGUGACCCCUUCACGAUAGUGAAGGGGAAACAGAACCUCCCUAACAUAUCCCCAGAUGUACGACUCCUACGGGUUUAACUCUUCCCCUUGAGUGCACUCCAAGAACACUGCCUCCCAAGGUAACACUUACUUAUUAUUACACCAAAGAACAUUUUCUCUAAUAUAUAUAUUUUUUCUGUAUUUAGAUAUAAAAAAUUGCAUUGUAAGAUAUUAUUGUGUGGUAUCAUAUAAAUGCAAUGUGUAUAUAAUGUUUAUUUUAAGGUCAGUGUUGAGAGAGUGAUGGAGGCUCUGUUGUCACCCAGCCGUUCCUCAUGCCGUUCACACGUUCCUCAUGCUGUUCACACGUUCCUCAUACCAUACACACUGCCCUCAUACCGUACACACUACCCUCAUAAAGUACACACUGCCCUCAUACCGUACACACUACCCUCAUAAAGUACACACUGCCCUCAUACCAUACACUGCCUUCAUACCGUACACACUACCCUCAUAAAGUACACACUGCCCUCAUACCGUAUACACUGCCUUCAUACCGUACACACUACCCUCAUAAAGUACACACUACCCUCAUACCGUAUACACUGCCCUCAUAAAGUACACACUACCCUCAUAAAGUACACACUACCCUCAUAAAGUACACACUACCCUCAUACCGUACACACUGCCCUCAUACCAUACACUGCCCUCAUACCGUACACACUACCCUCAUACCGUACACACUAUCCUCAUACCGUACACACUGCCCUCAUACCAUACACUGCCCUCAUACCGCACACACUACCUUCAUACCGUACACACUACCCUCAUACCGUAUACACUGCCCUCAUACCAUACACUGCCCUCAUACCGUACACACUACCCUCAUAAAGUACACACUACCCUCAUACCAUACACUGCCCUCAUACCGUACACACUACCCUCAUAAAGUACACACUACCCUCAUACCAUACACUGCCCUCAUACCGUACACACUACCCUCAUAAAGUACACACUACCCUCAUACCAUACACUGCCCUCAUACCGUACACUCUACCCUCAUACCGUAUACACUGCCCUCAUACCAUACACUGCCCUCAUACCGUACACACUACCCUCAUAAAGUACACACUACCCUCAUACCGUACACAUUGCCCUCAUACCAUACACUGCCCUCAUACCGUACACACUACCCUCAUAAAGUACACACUGCCCUCAUACCAUACACUGCCCUCAUACCGUACACACUACCCUCAAAGUACACACUACCCUCAUACCAUACACUACCCUCAUACCAUACACUGCCCUCAUACCAUAAACACUGCCCUCAUACAGUACACACUGCCCUCAUACCGUGUACACUGCCAUCAUACCAUACACACUGCCCUCAUACCAUACACGCUGCCCUCAUACCGUACACACACUGCCAUCACACCAUGCACACUGCCCUCAUACCAUACACGCUGCCCUCAUACCAUGCACACUGCCCUCAUACCGUUCACACUGCCAUCAUACCAUACACACUGCCCUCAUACCAUACACACUGCCAUCAUACCAUACACACUGCCCUCAUACCAUACACUGCCAUACCAUACACACUGCCCUCAUACCAUACACACUGCCCUCAUACCAUACACACUGCCCUCAUACCCUACACACUGCCCUCAUACCGUGCACACUGCCCUCAUACAAUACACACUGCCAUCAUACCAUACACACUGCCCUCAUACCAUACACACUGCCAUCAUACCAUACACACUGCCCUCAUACUAUACACACUGCCCUCAUACCAUACACACUGCCCUCAUACCGUGCACACUGCCCUCAUACCAUACACACUGCCCUCAUACCAUACACACUGCCCUCAUACCAUACACACUGCCCUCAUACCGUGCACACUGCCCUCAUACCAUACACACUGCCCUCAUACCAUACACACUGCCAUCAUACCAUACCCACUGCCUUCAUAUCAUACACACUGCCAUCAUACAGUAAUUUGGUUACUUGCGGUUAAUUAAUGUUAUGUUUAUGAACACUUAAGUUAACCUGAGAUAACUUACAUAAACAUUGCUUAGAUCACGCUAAAACUGAGGCGCUUUAAUCUGUUAGGAAACAAACGGUGAGGUUUGAGGUGGGUUCCUUUAACAGUGUGAAUGUUGUGGCAUCACUGUUAACAGUGUGGAUGUUGUGGCAUCACUGUUAACUGUGGAUGUUGUGGCAUCACUGUUAACAGUGUGGAUGUUGUGGCAUCACUGUUAACAGUGUGGAUGUUGUGGCAUCACUGUUAACAGUGUGGAUGUUGUGGCAUCACUGUUAACAGUGUGAAUGUUGUGGCAUCACUGUUGUUAACAGUAUGAGUGUUGUGGCAACACUGUUGUUAACAGUAUAAAUGUUGUGGCAACACUGUCGUGGUUACCACCCACAUGUUAUUUGUAGGUGUUGAGUAACGUCACAGCUGGCAGCCAUGUGACACCUGUGAACAGUAACGUCAUUGUUUCACCAAAGUAACGUCACUGUAACACUGAAGUAACAUCAGUGUUACACCAAAGUAACGUCACUGUAACACUGAAGUAACAUCAGUGUUACACCAAAGUAACGUCACUGGAACACUGAAGUUACAUCACUAAGUCUUGCAAACUUAAGUCUCCCCUAUGAACUUAUUUUCCUCUACCACAAUUCAACAUCUUCACUCAAUCAGCGUGACUUGCAAAAUAAAAUAAAACGUACAGUUUUUAGUAUUAAUUUUUAUAACUCAGAAGACUAUAAUGAAAACCAUUUGUGGCAUUUUUACAAGUUAAAUUUCACAUAAUCAAAUUGUUCGAUACUAGAAAUUUUAAAAAUAAUCUUCAAAGACUGGUAAGUACACGCUAUGUGAACAAGACAAUUUCCCCAUGGAAAAUUGGUUCAUUGGGCAACACUGGUGCCUAUAAAUUAUAGUAUUACUUUUAGGUAUUACCCGUGCACUGUGUUAUUAUCCUAGAUAUUACCUGUGCACUGUGCUAGUCCACGUAAGUUUGAGAUGUUCACACAUAUAGUGAGGGAAGCGUCGUCUCGCUGGACGAAUAUUGUUACUAGAACACCCUGGCCAGUUCUACUCUCACCCAUAUAUAUAUAUAUAUGGGUGUGCUGUACAUGCAUACGCUGAAAUAUUUCGAAGCAGAGCUGGCCAGAGUUCGCUUUCAGUUCUCGCUAAGCAGUAGUGUUAAGUGCACUCAUAUGGCAGAAAUAAAAUCAGUAGAAUAAGUUAUAUAUAUUGAUUCGAUUUAUAAAUGUUUCACUUCCGCUAUUUUACAAAUCUCUCUUUUAGAACAAAUGUUUAAUAAAUUGUGUUUAUUUAAAAAAAUA